CCCCUGCCAGCGUCACUUUCUGAGCCGCCCAGCAGUGAGUCUCCGCAUCUCAUCUUCCACCUCAUUCUCUGCCGUGUCUAAACGUCUCAAAAAUGAACGUCAGAAGAUCCAACGUGCAGAUUCGCUCCACACCUCAGCACUAUUCUGCCAGCAUUUAUGGUGGUGCUGGUGGACAGAAUACCCGCAUUUCCUCUAUCUCCACAUCUUCCCUAAGGUCUGGUCCACCAAUGACCUCUUCUUCCUCUGUCUUCAAACUGAGCAGUGGGAUUGGUGGUGUAGGUUCUGGUCUUAGUGGUGCGGGUGCAUCAGCGGCGACAGGUGGUGCCGGUGCCGGUGCCAGUGCUAGGAUCAUGGGCAACGAGAGAGGAGAAAUGCAGAACCUGAACAACCGCCUGGCCAACUACCUGGAGACGGUGAGGAACCUGGAACAGGCCAACGACGAGCUGGAGAUGAAGAUCAGGGAGGCUCUGGAGAAAGGAGGGCCUGACAUGAAAGACUACAGCAAGUAUGAGCCCAUCAUAGAUGACCUUCGCAAACAGAUCUUUGAUAAGAUUGCAGAAAACGCUCGUUUUGUGCUGCAAAUCGACAACGCUCGUCUGGCUGCGGAUGACUUCAAAGUAAAGUUCGACAAUGAAAUGGCAAUCCGGCAGUCUGUGGAGGCCGACAUUGCUGGGCUGAAGAGAGUCAUAGAUGACACCAAUAUGACCAGAAUGAACAUCGAGAGCGAGAUUGAAGCUGUGAGGGAGGAGCUUGCCUUCCUAAAGAAAAACCACGAGAACGAGGUGAUGGAGCUGAGGAACCAGAUCUCCCAGUCAGGCGUGCAAGUAGAUGUUGAUGCUCCCAAAGGUCAGGACCUGUCCCAGAUCAUGGAAGAAAUGAGGGCCAACUAUGAGAAAAUUGCUGUGAAGAAUGCAGAAGACCUCAAACGAUGGCAUGAAAAUCAGAUUGCGGAAGUGCAGGUGCAGGUAUCACAGAACACAGAAGCUCUCCAAGGAGCCCAGAUGGAGAUAGGUGACUUGUCCAGACAGAUCCAGACCCUGGAAAUUGAACUUGCGUCCCAGCAGAGCUUAAAAGCCUCCUUAGAGGACACAUUACGUAACACAGAGCUACGAAACAACAUGGAAAUGGAGAAGUACAACGCCAUCAUUAUCCGCCUGGAGGAGGAGCUGACCAAAUUGCGCGCAAACAUCCAGCAACAGACCCAAGAGUAUGAGGCGCUGCUCAACAUGAAGAUGAAACUAGAGGCCGAGAUUGGCACCUACAAGGGUCUGCUGGAUGGUGGAGACUUCAAGUAAGGCUUAUAAAGAGGUGGAGGACAAAAAAAACAGAUCGAGGAAAGGUGAUGAUGGUGGUGGAGGCUCCAGGAUGCACUGGAUGAGCUGGUGGCAAUCUAAUUUGGAACAAAGAAUCUGGGCCCACCCCAACAGUGAGAGCAGAACAACCAGCAACUAUUCAUUAUGGAAAAAAUUCCAUGCUGAGCCAAUCAACUAAAGCCAGUUUUGAAUCAUGACCACAUGCUGUUUAAAUGAAUAAAGUAAUUCUUAAUAAAGGCAUUCGACUGCAACAAAGUGAAACAGGGCUGUUUCAGAAACAACCACUGCCUGAUCUGACAGCAAAAGAAAGAUGAAUAAAACUUAUCAACCCUCA